rnacentral:tRNA from 1 species
GCCGGGGUGGCGGAACUGGCAGACGCGGCAGACUUAAAAUCUGCUGGCCUCAGGCCGUGCGGGUUCGAGCCCCGCUCCCGGCACCA